GAUGAACGCUGGCGGCGCGCCUAACACAUGCAAGUCGAACGAUUAAAGCACCUUCGGGUGUGUAUAAAGUGGCGAACGGCUGAGUAACACGUGGGCAACCUGCCCCUCUCAUUGGGAUAGCCACGGGAAACCGUGGAUAAUACCGAAUACUUCGGGACUUCCGCAUGGAAGACUCGAGAAAGCUCCGGCGGAGAGGGAUGGACCCGCGGCCUGUUAGCUUGUUGGUGGGGUAAUGGCCUACCAAGGCAAUGAUGGGUAGCUGGGUUGAGAGACCGACCAGCCAGAUUGGGACUGAGACACGGCCCAGACUCCUACGGGAGGCAGCAGUGGGGAAUCUUGCACAAUGGGCGAAAGCCUGAUGCAGCGACGCCGCGUGCGGGAUGAAGGCCUUCGGGUUGUAAACCGCUUUCAGCAGGGACGAGGCGAAAGUGACGGUACCUGCAGAAGAAGCCCCGGCUAACUACGUG
rnacentral:rRNA from 1 species